UACGAAGGGGGCUAGCGUUGUUCGGAAUUACUGGGCGUAAAGCGCGCGCAGGCGGUUUCUCAAGUCAGUGGUGGAAGCCCGGAGCUCAACUCCGGAACUGCCAUUGAAACUGUGAAACUUGAGGACGAGAGAGGUGAGUGGAAUUCCCAGUGUAGAGGUGAAAUUCGUAGAUAUUCGGAAGAACACCAGUGGCGAAGGCGGCUCACUGGACCGGUAUUGACGCUGAGGUGCGAAAGCGUGGGGAGCAAACAGG
rnacentral:rRNA from 1 species